rnacentral:rRNA from 1 species
UCAGCCGCCGCGGUAAUACCAGCACCCCGAGUGGUCGGGACGAUUAUUGGGCCUAAAGCAUCCGUAGCCGGUUCUGCAAGUCUUCCGUUAAAUCCACCUGCUCAACAGAUGGGCUGCGGGGGAUACUACAGGGCUAGGAGGCGGGAGAGGCAAGCGGUACUCGGUGGGUAGGGGUAAAAUCCUCUGAUCCACCGAAGACCACCAGUGGCGAAGGCGGCUUGCCAGAACGCGCUCGACGGUGAGGGAUGAAAGCUGGGGGAGCAAACCGGAUUAGAUACCUGGGUAGUCCCAGCUGUAAACGAUGCAGACUCGGUGAUGGGUUGGCUUUGAGCCAACCCAGUGCCGCAGGGAAGCCGUUAAGUCUGCCGCCUGGGGAGUACGGUCGCAAGACUGAAACUUAAAGGAAUUGGCGGGGGAGCA